AUCUUCAUGAAACUUGGUCAGAAGAUUUGUCCUAAUGAUAUCUUGGAUUAGUUCAAAAAUAGUUUCGUUUGCUUAAAAAACAUGGCCACCAGGGGGCGGGGCAUUUUUCCUAAUAUGGUUAUGUAUCAUGCUUUACUAAAACAUUGUAAACACUCUGUAGGCCACAUUUAUUUUCCGAUUAUUAUGAAACUUGGUCAGAUGAUUUGUCCUAAUGAUAUCUUGGAUGAGUUCAAAAAUGGUUCUAGUUGGUGGAAAAACAUGGCCACUAAGGGGGCGUGGUAUUUUUCCUUAUAUGGCUAAAGUAAAACCCUGUUAAAACUCUAGAAGCCAUAUUUAUUGUACGAUCAUCAUGACACUUUGUCAGAAGAUUUGUCCCAAUGAUAUUUGGACAAGUUUGAAAUUGGUUCCAGUUGCUAAGAAAAACAUGGCCACCAGUGGGCGGGGGCAUUUUUCCUUAUAUGGACUUAUGAAUCUUCUUGAAACUUUGUCAGUAUAUUAGUUUAAAUGAUAUCUUGGAUGUGUUUUUCACGUUGACAUUUGAAGCUUUAACUUUGUAUGAUUCUAAAUAUGUGUCAAUGCUGUCAGUUGAAUUUUGAAAUAUGAAGUUUUACAUUUUUUGUAGAUUAAAUAAUUUGUAAAAUGUUGCAGUUUCGUCAAUCAGUUUUAUAAGAUAUUGAGCUUUAGUUAUGAUGCAGAUUGUAAGAUUCUUAAUAUCUUUCAAUAUUGUGGAUAAGUUUUUGAGAUAUCAAGCUUUGAGUUUUAUGCAAAUUGUAUGAUUUUAAAAUGUUUUAAUGGUGUUGAUCAGUGUAAUGAAGAUUGCAUAAUUUUUAUGUUUUAAUUCUGUCUAUUGGUUUUCAAAAUGAAAGACUUUGAUUUUGUAAGUGCACUUUUAUCUCCUGAAAGAUUCUUUUCUAGUGUUUAGUUUAUAUUUUAAGGCUGUUUGCAAACUCGAAGUGAAAACAGUUCUAUUACAAUUUGGUAAGGACAUGACAUUGCAUAUCUGAUUUUAAAAUGUACUUUGCUGGCAACGUGUAAUUUUCUGAAAUGUCUUAGUAAGACUGUUGUUUGCAAUCAAAAGGUCUGUGCUUCAAAUACAGGGUAAUGCAUGUUUUUUGUCCAAAUUUAUGGCGAUUCAGACAUUGUUCUAUGUAAAUUUGGGGUUUGCUUGAAGGUUCAGUCUAUUUUUAUGUCCCUCACUAUAGUAGUGGGGGACAUAUUGUUUUUGUCCUGUCUGUUGGUUGGUUGGUUGAUCUGUUUACGCCAACUUUAACAUUUGCAAUAACUUUUGCAAUAUUGAAGAUAGCAACUUGAUAUUUGGCAUGCAUAUGUAUCUCAUAGAGCUGCACAUUUUAAUUUUCUGAAAGGUCAAGGUCAGAGGUCAAAUAUAUGUGGCCAAAAUCGCUCAUUUUAUGAAUACUUUUGCAAUAUUGAAGAUAGCAACUUCAUAUUUGGCAAGCAUGUGUAUCUCAUGGAGCUGCACAUUUUGAGUGGUGAAAGGUCAAGGUCAUAAUUCAAUGUCAUAGGUCGAAUAUAUGGCUUCAAAGCGGCGCAGUAAGGGGGAUUGUGUUUUACGAACACAGCUCUUGUUGUUAACUGCCUUUUUAGUCCCUUACCAGUGUUUCACUAAAGUCCGUGUACUUUGGACUCAUUUCAAGUUGACAUUUGAAGCUUUAACUUUGUAUGAUUCUAAAUAUGUGUCAAUGCUGUCGGUUGAAUUUUGAAAUAUGAAGUUUUUCAUUUUUUGUAGAUUAAAUAAUUUGUAAAAUGUUGCAGUUUAGUCAAUCAGUUUUAUAAGAUAUUGAGCUUUAGUUAUGAUGCAGAUUGUAAGAUUCUUAAUAUCUUUCAAUAUUGUGGAUAAGUUUUUGAGAUAUCAAGCUUUGAAUUUUAUGCAAAUUGUAUGAUUUAAAAUGUUUUAAUUUGUUGAUCAGUGUACUGAAGAUUGUAUACUUUUUAUAUGUUAUAAUUCUGUCUAUUGGUUUUCAAAAUGAAAGACUUUGAUUUUGUAAGUGCACUUUUAUCUCAUUAUGCCCCCCUUCGAAGAAGAGGGGGUAUAUUGCUUUGCUCAUGUCGGUCGGUCUGUCGGUAUGUCAGUUUGUCGGUCCGUCCACCAGGUGGUUGUCAGACGAUGACUCAAGAACGCUUGGGCCUAGGAUCAUGAAACUCCAUAGGUACAUUGAUCAUGACUCGCAGAUGAUCCCUAUUGAUUUUGAGGUCAAAGGUCAAGGUCACGGUGACCCAAAAUAGUAAAAUGGUUUCCGGAUGAUAACUCAAAAAUUCAUACGCCUAGGAUCAUGAAACUUCAUGGCUAGAUUGAUCAUGACUUGCAGAUGACCCCUAUUGAUUUUGAGGUCACUAGGUCAAAGGUCAAGGUCACGGUGACCCGAAAUAGUAAAAUGGUUUUCAGAUGAUAACUCAAGAACGCAUAUGCCUAGGAUCAUGAAACUUCACAGGUAGAUUGAUCAUGACUCACAGAUGACCCUUAUUGAUUUUGAGGUCACAAGGUCAAGGUCACGGUGACCCGAAAUAGUAAAAUGAUUUUCGGAUGAUAACUCAAGAACGCUUUUGCCUAGGAUCAUGACACUUCAUAGGUACAUUGAUCGUGACUCACAGAUGACCCCUAUUGAUUUUCAGGUCACUAGGUCAAAGGUCAAGGUCACAGUGACAAAAAACGUAUUCACACAAUGGCUGCCACUACAACGGACAGCCCAUAUGGGGGGCAUGCUUGUUUUACAAACAGCCCUUGUUAAAGAUUCUUUUCUAGUGUUUAGUUUAUAUUUUAAGGCUGUUUGCAAACUCGAAGUGAAAACAGCUCUAGUACAAUUUGGUAAGGACAUGACAUUGCAUAUCUGAUUUAAAAAUGUACUUUGCUGGCAACGUGUAAUUUUCAGAAAUGUCUUAGUAAGUAAGACUGUUGUUUGCAAUCAAAAGGUCUGUGCUUCAAAUCCAGGAAAAUGCAUGUUUUUUGUCCAAAUUUAUGUCAAUUCAGACAUUGUUCUGUGUAAAUAUGGGGUUUGCUUGUAGGAUCAGUCUAUUUUUAUGUCCCCCACUAUAGUAGUGGGGGACAUGUUGUUUUUGCUCUGUCGGUCUGUUGAUUGGUUGGUUGGUCUGUUUAUGCCAACUUUAACAUUUUGCAAUAUUGAAAGUAGCAACUUGAUAUUUGGCAUGCAAAUGCAUCUCCUGAAGCUGCACAUUAUCAUUGGUGAAAGGUCAAGGUCAUCCUUCAAGGUCAGAGGUCAAAUAUAUGUGGCCCAAAUCGCUUAUUUUAUUAAUACUUUUGCAAUAUUGAAGAUAGCAACUUGAAAUUUGGCAUGCAUGUGUAUCUCAUGGAGCUGCAAAUUUUGAGUGUUGAAAGGUCAAAGUCAUCCUUCAAGGUCAGAGGUUAAAUAUAUGUGGCCCAAAUCGCUUAUUUUAUGAAUACGUUUGCACUAUUGAAGAUAGCAACUUGAUAUUUGGCAUGCAUAUGUAUCUCAUAGAGCUGCACAUUUUGAGUGGUGAAAGGUCAAGGUCAUCCUUCAAGGUCAAAUAUAUGGGUCAAAAUUGCUCAUGUUAUGUUACUUCUGCAAUAUUGAAGCUAGCAAUUUUAUAUUUGACAUGCAUGUGUAUCUCAUGGAGCUGCACAUUUUGAGUGGUGAAGGGUCAAGGUCAUCCUUCAAGGUCAAACGUUAUAUACGGGGCAUUGGGUUUCACAAACGCAUCUUGUUGUGUAUGUAAUUAAUUUUGCUUAAUUUUUGUGAUCCCCCGCCAACAGCGGAGGGAUAUUAAUUUGGCAUUGUCCGUCUUUCCGUCUGUCCGUCCGGCACUUUUGUGUCCGGAACCAUAUCUUGGAAGUGCUUUAGCAGAUUUCAUUGAAACUUGGUACGAGUAUAUAUAUAUGGAUAAGAGGAUGAUGCACGCCAAAUGGCAUUGUACAUCCUUGAUUAAUAGCGGAGUUAUGACCCUUUGUAUUUGAAAAAAAUGCUUUUUUUGUGUGUCCAGAGCCAUAACUUGUAUCCAGAAGUAUAAUGGCGGGGGAUAUCAAUUCAACGAAUUUGCUUGUUAAAUCAGUUUUUAUUUUCAUGAUAAUCAUUUAGUUCGUACUGCAACUUAUGAUGGAUUGUUACUACUAUCUCCAAUUAUUUGUUUGUCAUGGGUCCGUCACCAUUUAUCUCUUAUAUAAUACUUGAAUUGAGCAUUUCACAAUCUGACAAUCAUGCAUAUCAUUUAUUAGUUUCAUAAUAAAACGUCUGACAAGGGUCAGAUAAUUUUAA